rnacentral:rRNA from 1 species
CACGUAGGGUGCGAGCGUUUGUCCGGAAUUAUUGGGCGUAAAGAGCUCGUAGGCGGUGUGUCGCGUCGGCCGUGAAAACCUGCAGCUUAACUGUGGGCUUGCGGUCGAUACGGGCAUCACUGGAGUUCGGCAGGGGAGACUGGAAUUCCUGGUGUAGCGGUGAAAUGCGCAGAUAUCAGGAGGAACACCGGUGGCGAAGGCGGGUCUCUGGGCCGAUACUGACGCUGAGGAGCGAAAGCUAGGGGAGCAAACGGGAUUA